UUUUUUUCGAGCAACGUGAAAUGAUCGCAAAAUAAUAAAAACCUUCUAGGUAGGCACGAAACCUACUAGAAUUCACAGGAAAAAUAGGAUGCAACCAAGUACGAAAGCCGGCAAAAAGGAAUGAUUUCAUGCCUAUCUCCUUUAAAGACU
ensembl:ncRNA F10C1.12 ncRNA